GACGGAGGAUGCAAGUGUUAUCCGGAAUCACUGGGCGUAAAGCGUCUGUAGGUGGUCAAAUAAGUCAACUGUUAAAUCUUGAGGCUUAGCCUCAAAAUCGCAGUCGAAACUAUUAGACUAGAGUAUAGUAGGGGUAAAGGGAAUUUCCAGUGGAGCGGUGAAAUGCGUAGAGAUUGGAAAGAACACCGAUGGCGAAGGCACUUUACUGGGCUAUUACUAACACUCAGAGACGAAAGCUAGGGUAGCAAAUGGG
rnacentral:rRNA from 1 species